GACGAACGCUGGCGGCGUGCUUAACACAUGCCAGUCGAACGGAAAGGCCCUGCUUUUGCGCGGUGCUCGAGUGGCGAACGCGUGUGUCUCACGCGAGUAACCUGCCCCUGACUUUGGGAUAACUUCAGCAAACUCGGGCUAAUACCGCAUAGGAGCUCCUGCUGCAUGGUGGUGGUUGGAUAGUUUCGGCGGUUGGGGAUGCACUCGCGGCUUACCAGCUUGUUGGUGGGGUAUUUGCAUACCAAGGCCUUGACGGGUAGGCUGCCUUAGAGGGUGGCCGGCCACAUUGGGACUAAGGUACGACCCAGACUCCUACGGGUGGCAGCAGUGGAGAAUAUUGCAGAAUGGGCGGACGCGUGAUGCAGCAGCGCCGGGAGCGGGAUGACGGCUUGCGAGUUGUAAACAGCUGUCGCCUGAAACGAAGGGUGAGUGACGGUAAUGGGUAAAGAAGCACCGGCUAACUACGUG
rnacentral:rRNA from 1 species